AAAAGGGGUAAAAGAAUUGGAUAAGGGCUUGGAGUGACAGUCUGACAACCCAGUGGGAUAGCGCAGAACUCAAGAAAGGUUCAAGCCGGCCAGGCCUUCUGGAUUUUGCUUGCCUCUUAGGAUAGAAACUAAGUUCAGCUAGAAAAGGACCUUAGCCUUCAGAGGUUGAGGAACCAACUGUAAAAAUAGAGGUAGCUACUGUAAGUGUAAAGUUACGUGGGCAUCCAAGAAUUCAAAGGGAAAGUGGAGAAUAGACUGAAAAACACUGGAGAAGAAUGAGCAACUUCUGGAUUUCUAAUUGUAAUGCUUGAGUAAGUUUACAAGUGAAGAGGUUUAGGAAACCUGUACCAAGUCAAGAGAGAGCUGACUAGUUGAAAGAAUUCCACAAACAAGCUUCAGCAGCCAUGUCAGAUGUGGGCCAAAGCAUUAUGUUCCUGGUGUCCAAUUCCGUGCCUUCAGCUUCUCCCAAUGCUUCAUGGCUGUGAAACAUCUUUAGCCUUUAAAGAGACAAUAGUUAAGUGACAAUUCCUGCUUCUUUACCAAAGUUAAUUUCUUUAUUAUCUUGUUUAUUAUAUUAGGGGAUGGAAGGUUUGAGGAAUAUGGAAACACCUGGUAACAUGCUCAGUGGCAGGGCACUUCAGUUUUUUAUCGUUCUUGUGCUGAGAAGGACCAGUACAACUCUCCAGAAAGCAAAGAUACCUCUUAUACAAAGCCAGUGGUGCUCAAUCUUUUGGACCUGGAUGAAUGACAUGAGGCAGGUCUGCAGGCUGGAUCCUGCAGGUGGAGUCAGUCCGCAGGCUAGAUCCCGGAUGGGGUGGGCUCAUGGGGUCAGUCUGCAGGAGGAUCAGCCUGGCCCUCUGUGCUGGAUGCAGCCCAUAGGUUGAGUACUGCUGAAUUAUACUAUUUGGCAAGAUAGAAAAUAUCAUAAGUGGUAGCAAACCUGAGAGAGCGAUUGUUUUGCAACAUUGAAUGGUAUUUUUAAUAAACUAGAGUGUUUGUAGAAGCUAUUUUUAGAAAUAAGAUGUUGAAUAGAAAGUAUUUGCUGAUGUACAAUUUUAAGCCCAUUAAAGCUGAACAACUAAAAAACA